rnacentral:lncRNA from 1 species
CACAGUAUGGAGUAAGAUUAAGGAAGGCAGGUCAUCAGCAAGGUUUGAGCUCUGUCUUGAAGAACAAGACAAAUUUGGAUGUACAGUGUCAUUCCAGACAGAGGCAAUAGCAGGGGGGUGCAGGAUGUAGUGGUCAGUGGCCAGGGAUGAGAAAGUCCUGGCGACCUGAGGCAGUGAAUGGAGCAGAAGUGGGACAUCAGAUAGGUGGGUCCAAACUUGCUAUGGUAGAGAAUGGGGAUCUCUCGAGUGUUGACCAAUGGGGCUGUGAUGUAAUGGAAGCAGGAAGGAAGAUGUCACAAGGGCAGUGAUCACUCUUUUCUCUUCUGCAUUUUCCUGAGCUGCUCCUUCUUCACACUUCCCUUAUUAAUUGCAAAGUAAUAGUCAAGCCUCUCAGGGAACAUGGAAAAUACCCCUGCAGGGGCAACAUCCUCCAGCAACCGGAAAAGCCCUGGGAUGCCCAGCCCCCAGUGGAUCCUGGGACGGACGGGGAUAGGAUGGAGGAGACAGGGCUCUGGGGGCCAUGGCUGCUGCUGCUGCUGCCGCUCUGAGCACCGGGAUUCCAAGCUGUAGGUGAAGAGGAGAAACAAGUGCCUGCAGGAAGGAAAGAACUGGACCACAGUCGGUUCUCACACCCUCAUGCUCUAUUCCUCCAGCCUGAAGGCCUGGCAGUAGGAGAGGAGCCAGGGCCCCCCAGAGACACUGGUGCACAUGAACACUGGGAGCCAAGACCUAAACCGGGCCCAGGCUGGGAGAUACCUGCUGAAGGAUUGUCCCAGGGAGACUGGAUGCAAUGUCACAUGACAGCUCUGGCAGCAGGACUUGGGACUAUACCAGUGCAUGGUCAACCUCUCACCUCAGAAUCCCCAUACCCUGUCCAAACAGAUUAGGUUGAUAGAGUGCAAAGCAGGUACUUGGUGCAGCGGGGAUCCUGCAGAGAUCCACCUUGACUGGAUGGUUCUUGGUGAAUCCUGGGAAUGGGUCCAGUGUGCGAAUAAAAACUGCCCCCUUUCUGAAGGGAUUUAAAAAGUAGCAGGGGAGGAAUAGAUUCUAGAGAGCAAAACGAAGGGCCUUUCACUGACCUGGAGUUGCUUCUCAUUGGUGGGGGCACUGCCAGUUUAUUAGAAAGCCCGUCUAUCCACAUGGGGAGAUAGAAAGAAAAAAAGGGGGACCCUGAUACUUCUGCCUCAAGCUUUUUUUUUCUAAGAUUGUAUUUAAUUAUUUGAGAGAGAGAGCAAGCACAAGUGAGAGUACACAAGCAGAGGAAAUAACAGAGGCAGAGGGAGAAGCAGACUCCCUGAUGUGGGGCUCCAACCCAGGACCCUGAGAUC